rnacentral:rRNA from 1 species
GACGAACGCUGGCGGCGUGCUUAACACAUGCAAGUCGAACGAUGAACCUCGAAAUGAUUUCUUCGGAAAGAUUUUUGAGAGGAUUAGUGGCGAACGGGUGAGUAACGCGUGAGCAACCUGCCUUAGACAAGGGGAUAGCCUCGGGAAACCGUGAUUAAUACCCUAUGAGACUCCACUUACGAGUGUAAGAGAAGUUAACGCUAUUGCGGUCUAAGAUGGGCUCGCGUCUGAUUAGCUAGUUGGUGAGAUAAAAGCCCACCAAGGCGACGAUCAGUAACCGGCUUGGUAGCGUGACCCGUCACAUUGGAACUGAGACACGGUCCAAACUCCUACGCGAAGCAGCAGUAGGGAAUAUUGCACAAUGGGGGCAACCCUGAUGCAGCGACGCCGCGUGAGCGAUGAAGGAAUUCGUUUCGUAAAGCUCUGUCCUUGGAGAAGAUAAUGACGGUAACCAAGGAGGAAGCACCGGCUAACUACGUG